GACUAAAAUUGUCUUGGAAAAAGAACGGAACCCCAACUGAAACAGUGAAGUUGCAGAAGCGAGAAAGAAAUGGGUUGAUCAAAAUUUGGGGUGUUUUCUGUUGAAGUCCUCUCUCCUUUAUUCUUGCAUAGAACACGUAAAAUUUAUCCCUCAAUUCAAUCCAACAUUCUAUGUCCUUGACUUCUGGUGGAACAAAUUUAGCUAAUUGACAAGCUUCAUCAAGCCUAGCAUAUCUACUGCACAAAUGUAGUGCUUUGAAUCAAGGAAACUCCAUACAUUGAGUUCAAAUAUUCUAAGCUGGCAUCAACAAGUCCAGAAUGACUACAAGCAUGUAAAACUCCUAGAACGGUGAUACCGUGGGGUCGUAUUCAUUUUUUGAGCAUUUCUUCACUUGUAUGGUUGUAUGAAUAUAAGUUGCAGGUGUGCCUAAAAUGGUUUAUGAAUGUAAGUUAUGUCAGUUUCUGGUA